rnacentral:rRNA from 1 species
CCUACGGGAGGCUGCAGUGGGGAAUAUUGCACAAUGGGGGAAAGCCUGAUGCAGCGACGCCGCGUGAGUGAGGAAGUAUUUCGGGUUGUAAAGCUCUAUCAGCAGGGAAGAAAAUGACGGUACCUAACUAAGAAGCCGCGGAUAACUACGUGACAGCAGCCGCGGUAAUACGUAGGGCGCAAGCGUUAUCCGGAUUUACUGGGUGGAAAGGGAGCGUAGACGGUUAAGCAAGUCAGAAGUGAAGACCCAGGGCUCAACCUGGGGAAGGCUUUUGGAACUGAGAAGCUAGAGUGCAGGAGAGGGAAGCGGAAUUCCAAGUGUAGCAGUGAAAUGCGUAGAUAUUAGGAGGAACACCAGUGGCGAAGGCGGCUUACUGGACCGUAACUGACGUUGAGGCUCGAAAGCGUGGGGAGCAAACAGGAUUAGAUACCCGGGUAGUC